rnacentral:rRNA from 1 species
UACGGGGGGGGCAAGCGUUGUUCGGAAUUACUGGGCGUAAAGGGCUCGUAGGCGGCCAACUAAGUCAGACGUGAAAUCCCCAGCUCAACCUGGGAACUGCGUCUGAUACUGGAUGGCUUGAAUCCGGGAGAGGGAUGCAGAAUUCCAGGUGUAGCGGUGGAAAUGACGUAGAUAUCUGGAGGAACACCCGGUGGCGAAGGCGGCGUUCUGGAGCUGCUACUGACACU